rnacentral:rRNA from 1 species
UCGGGAAUUUUGGGCAAUGGGCGAAAGCCUGACCCAGCAACGCCGCGUGAAGGAUGAAGUAUUUCGGUAUGUAAACUUCGAAAGAAUAGGAAGAAUAAAUGACGGUACUAUUUAUAAGGUCCGGCUAACUACGUGCCAGCAGCCGUGGUAAUACGUAGGGACCAAGCGUUGUUCGGAUUUACUGGGCGUAAAGGGCGCGUAGGCGGCAAUUCAAGUCAUCUGUGAAAUCUCCGGGCUUAACUCGGAACGGUCAGAUGAUACUGCUUUGCUAGAGUGCAGAAGGGGCAAUCGGAAUUCUUGGUGUAGCGGUGAAAUGCGUAGAUAUCAAGAGGAACACCUGAGGUGAAGACGGGUUGCUGGGCUGACACUGACACUGAGGCGCGAAAGCAUGGGGAUCAAACAGGAUUAGAUACCCAUGUAGUCCCUGAGCGGGCUGGCAAGGCGCAU